CCACUUAGCUUCCAUUUUCUACGUACUCUACCAGUUCUCAUGAUUUUGUGCAACAGUAGCCGCUGACUCCAAAAGCAGCGGGCGUAUGUCACGUCAGCCUCCGCAUUUGACUCGUUUGAGUGAGCACGUCGCUUGCUACUGCCGCUGGCGCACUAGCACCGGGAAUUCAUUUUCUUCGACUACACCUGCUCUCCCACCACCAGCGCCUCAGGGAACUUAAGCCAAGAGACUGCGUGACAGAGCGAGCGUAUCCUACGCACAUCAAAUCCCCAAGACGCGUUGGCUUGGGUCGGACGUCAUCGUUCGGGACGCCAACAGCUGUAUAGGAGGGACCCGGUCGAGCGCCAACGUACGAGAUCUCUUAAGGCGUGUCUUCCGAUUCGGUCAACCAGCCGACAAACCAUGGAGGGUCUGCGAGAGCUCGCCUCCCGUCUACGUUCGUGCAGUUCAUCGAGCGACGCACCACGCCAGCUUCGUAGGGCACCGGCCAAACUGGAUGUGAUGAAGCAGCGUGCCGCUCCCACGUUGGGACGGGUAGGCCAAGCCUACCGCCGCAUCGUGGGCUCUCUGGACAGCCCAUCCUUGACGUGAAAGCUCGGAGCUCCACAGCGCAGAGAUCC